AGUCAGUGGCUGUCAGGACCCAGCAUGGACAUGAGGGCCCCCAUGCAGCUCCUCGGCCUCCUGCUGCUCUGGCUCCCAGGUGCCAGGUGUGCCAUCCAGGUGACCCAGUCUCCAGCCUCCCUGGCUGCAUCUCUCGGAGACACAGUCUCCAUCACUUGCCGGGCCAGUCAGAGCAUUAGCAGUAAUUUAGACUGGUAUCAACAACAACCAGGGAAGGCUCCUAAACUCCUCAUUUAUAAGGCAUCCACUUUGCAAAGUGGGGUCCCAUCCCGGUUCAAGGGCAGUGGAUCUUGCACAGAUUUCACCCUCACCAUUAGCGGCCUGCAGCCUGAAGAUGCUGCAAAAUAUUACUGUGUGCAGGGUAUGGUUUUCCUCCCACAGUGUUACAGGACAGCACAACACCCCCCCGCCAGGGAAAUCCCCACCUCUGCCUGCUGAGCGUGGUGAGCAAAGGGGAGUCCCAUCAGGCCCAGGAGGAGCAGGGAUUAGGGGAGCCCCUGGGGUCAGCCCAGGCAGGGGGAUGUGUCACCUCACUGUCAGUUGCUCUUGAAGAGGAUGACCUUUGA